AAUGUAUUUAAAAAAAGUCAAAAGCGUUUAUGAAAGAUUUUACAGCUUAAAAUGAUGAAAAGUAUGAAAAUGAGAAUGAAUUGAUUACAUGCGUAUCACAAAUUAAGAUUCAAUUCAUAAGUUGGCGAAGUUAACAGCGAAAAUUAACUACUGUUGGCGAUAUAAGUUAAUAGCGGAAAUUAACUACUGGCAGAUUUUCUUUGCAAUUCAAGAUUUUCUCGAGGAGAUUUUAGAAAACGAUAACUCUUUUGUGGAAAACUAUGACGACAAUGUUGAUGUAAAAGAAGUAAUUCGCUGUUCGAUAAAAAACAAACACGCUUCUUUUAAUUCAGACAUUUUAGCGGAAAAAGAGGAAUCUGAGAUAGAAGAUUGUGAAGAUUCAGAUAAGACAUGCUCAAGGAGGCAAAACAAAAAAAACUCAUUAGAAGACGAAGAAACACUUGUUGCACGAAGAGAACGAAAUCGGCUUGCUGCUCAAAGAUGUCGACAAAGAAGGAGAGACAGAAUUGAAAAACUUGAAAAGAUAUGUCAGCGUCUUGAAUGUGACGGAAGCAGUUUAGAAAACGAGAUCAGCGAACUGCAGAAAGAAAUGAGUGAUCUUCAGCAAGUAUUAACCAAUCACAAAUGCCACGCUAAAAUUAACACUAAAUUUGUGACUAAGUCUGGAAAUAAAACUGAAACUUAUAUUCCUACUUUAUAGAAGAAUUUAAAUAAAUUGAGAACUAUAAAAAUUAA
rnacentral:misc_RNA from 1 species